AGUUACGAAAUUCCAACAAUUCGAUUGCCAACGCAUGGCUGAAAUAUCUGUUAGGUUAGAAAGAUCAAGUAAACACUGUAGAAAAAAAAGUCUGUUUUAAUGGAAAAUUGUGUCUCACCUGUAGCCUACCUUUCCAAAUAGUCUGUUUCUAGCCUGGUUUGUUGUCAUGGAGCUAUUUUAAGAGUCCCUGUAAGUUUUAGGUAACUGAUAGAUGUGUGUUAUGUCUAUUCUACUAGUGAUUUUAUUUCCUCUCACACAUGGAAAAGCUAGUUUUGGCCCUCUAAACUCAGGACUAGUUUACUCCUUAUAAAUUUGUGUUUAGAUUUUUCCUUUGAAUGGUUAUAACAUCUGUCUGGUUCUCUCAUAUCAUAUAAUUUGUUAAAAAAUCUUUAACACAUGUUUAUUUUUAUACCUCUAUGGGAGUCUUGCAUUUACCUUUUUCUGAAAAUUAUCGUUUAGUCUCUAGACUCUUACCCCUGUUUCUCGACUAGAGGUAAGAAGGGACACUAAUAGUUACAUAUUUUAUAAAAUGUUCAAGUGACCCAAGGAAUCUCUGAAGCAAAUUUGUACUCCAGCCUAGCUCAAGUCCUACCACUAGCCUGACACUUUUAUCGUUUAUCUAGACAUUCAGGUGCUCUCUCUGGUACCUAUUUCCUUUCCUCAUCACCCAGACUCUUGCAGGCUUGUUCUCUCCAUGGAGAAGUAGCAUCAGAGCUUCUAAGCAUCCAUAAGGCAAAGCUUGCCAAUUCCUGCCUAUUUGGGUAUGUUGCAAACUGCCCUAAAGCUUUUUUGAAGAAGGUGGAUUAUAUUAAUCCAUAAUGGCUUCCCCUCCCCACCUCCAUUUCCCAACUCUUAAAGAGUCAAAAGAGCUGAAAGUUUCCCUGAUAAAGUUGAAAAUUACAAAUCAUAUCUUAAGAUGACAUUUUCCCGGUGUAAGGAACUGUUAAGAACUAUAAGGAAAACUUAUUUUGCUCAAGAGCAGAGUAUUUGGGGUAUUGUGACUUAGUUCUUAUUAUACAGUAAUAAUUGUAGUCCAGUCAAUGCUUACUGAGGCCCACUGUGAGCUAAUAACUCUGCAAGAAGCUCAGGGUACAAGACCAAGUAAAACAAAAUCUCUGCCUUCAAGGAGCUCGCAGAAGAAAAACACAUGUGCACCACUAAUCAUAAAAUACUUAGCAGUAUGAAUGCCAUGGGAGAAACAAAAUGGAUCUGAAAAGUGAAUAUGAUUGUUUGGUAAAGAAAUUUAUCUACAAUUUUAAUUGAAGGAUUGUCCAGUCACUUUACAGAUAAGGAAACCAAGUCCCCCAAAUGUUAUAGGAUCACAAUUCAUCCAUAAUGUAAGCAAGCAUAGAUAAAAGUUAUAAUGGGUGAUUGCAAGAUGAUUGAAUGGCAUGUACAUUUCAACUCUUAAACUAGAGCUGCUAUUUCUUCCAUACAGUGAAUUAACCUGCAAAGUGGGUUGCUGUGUUUCCAGCCUACUUCUGAAUGUAAAGGAGUCAUUUGUAAAAGGCUUUUGGCAGGCCUGGGGGAGAAUUUACUGUUAUCUGAGCUGUUAUCUGAGCUGCAGUCUUGGGAGGUCUCCCUGGGCUAAGCGGACAAUCCAGUGUCUGGGGAGACUGGGAUGGUAGUGGUGGUGGUACCCCUCGCACUGCCUGCCUCCUGGGCUGGCAAGAAUUCUGCGGAGUGAGGGCUACAGCUUUUCUGGCUGAAGUUCAAGGCUGGGCUUCUAUCCCAGCAGGGAGCUAGGGUGAAAACCAGAAGCUGGGCAGAAGGCCAGUGAGAUCAAAUGGUAGCUCAUUCCCAGGAGUCUCAAUUCACCUCCAGGAGCAUUGGAUAAACUGCUUCCAGAUUCUGCUCACUCAUGAGAUGGAAGCUUCUGACAUGGGGACCAACUGAGCCAUUCCCAGCUGAGAUGGGGAGCAGCUGGGUGGUGUUGGGACACUCAGAGAUUGAGGAAGACCACAACUUUCGGAAUGAGAAUCAACUUUGAUGAGUCUCGACAUCAGGAGUCUCAGCAACAGUUGAAGUGGUCCUGAAUAAAGUCUUCACCAUUUCAGCAAGUGUCCUUAGCAGAGCUCAGCCACAAAGGAGGGGAUACUGUCCAGUGGCCUCUGCAGACGAGGUCAGGGAGGAUAAUAACAAAAGAAGGUCCUCUGGGAGGGCAGAGGCAAGAGCCAUGGAGAGGACUUGUAGGAAGUAGAACUAGUGCUGGAUCCAGGAGCACUUACUCUCCACUGAGAAGGAGGCCUUUGCAACACUUUGCCCCGGAGGUUAACAUUGUUAUCGGUAAGUGACCAAUACGUAUCUCCCUUUCUUUCUGAAUGGUGUUUCUUACUGUUAUCAUAUUUCUGAGAUACUACUAUGUCUUGUGUUUGUAACUUGUGGUUUAGUCCAUGCCUCUGAACAGAGACUAGACCUACCCAGAUAUGGAAUAGAGACAAUUAGGAGAACCUGGACUUUUGAGUGUGAUUGGAUGGAAUUGCGCACCUGUGCGGAGGAUGAGAGCAACUCUCCAUGAUCCAGAGGGUGGACUAAGGUAGCCUGUGCCAUUGUCCCCUCUCUAAUUACUCUCCCUUUUCCUUAAAGAAGAUGAUUCAUUCAUCCUCACUCAUUGCCAUGUGAUUUGCAGGAGCCCUCCCCAUCCUCCCUGCCACCAUAGGAGGGGUGUACUUUGUGGAAACAAGCAAAGACCACCCAAAGGAGAACAAACAGAGGCUAUUUAUUCAGAGGCUGUUACAUAGCAAGGCAGUCAGCCUCCAUCACUUGCCUUUGGCAGAGAGUCAAAUGCAGGCAAGGGAGCAGGAGAGCUAUUUUACAGUGAAAGAAAAGGAAGGCUUCAGGUAUACUGAUUGAGGUUGUUGGCACGGAGACCCUGGAGGCAAGCUCGCUGGAAACGGGGAAUGUUGUGUGAUUAGUUUGGGAGGAUAUUUGGCUUCUCUGGUCAAUCCUGAGUUGGAAGCAGGGGCAAAAAAAUCUGGCAGUCAUUGACCAAGCGCUGACCAUGUGGAGCUGACUGCUACAGAUGUUGUGGUUUGGCUUCCUGGGCCGGUUGCUGCCGAGGCUGGAGGUCAGGGUUUUAUUGCGUAGGUCUGGCCAUUAUCCACUUGUGUGUUCAGUCUCCACUUUAUCUCAUUGACAUUGAGCUUAGCAACGGGAAUUCUUCAGCCAAUAGGAUGUGAGUGGGCAUCCUCUACGUCAUGUUUGAGCAGAAGGCUUGAGAGCCCUUGUGUGUUUUAUUCUGAACUUCUUUCCCUUCUGCUGUGAGACUGGCAUUUCUGAUGUAAGGGGCUGCUUCUUUAAUCUGGGUUCCCGAAUGUGAAGACACGUGGAGCAGGGCCAUUGCCUACCCUCUGCCAAAAACACAGCUGCGGUGGACCUGGAGUCCCCAUGAAAUGUCAAUGAAAAAAUAAACCAUUGUUUUGAAAGCUAUUAUCAAUUGAGUUUCUUUCUUUUUUUUCGGUCGAGUUGCACAGCUUGUGGAGUCUUAGUUCCCCAAGCAGGGAUCGAACCCUGUGCCCCCUGCAGUGGAAGCACAGAGUCCUAACCACUGGACCACCAGGGAAUUCCUGAGGUUCCUUGUUUAAGCAAAGAAGCUAACUAAUGCAGUCAUCCUAGAUCAGAGAGACUCUGAUGG